CCUACGGGGUGCAGCAGUAGGGAAUCUUCGGCAAUGGACGAGAGUCUGACCGAGCAACGCCGCGUGAGUGAAGAAGGUUUUCGGAUCGUAAAACUCUGUUGUUAGAGAAGAACAAGUAGGAGAGUAACUGCUCUUACCUUGACGGUAUCUAACCAGAAAGCCACGGCUAACUACGUGCCAGCAGCCGCGGUAAUACGUAGGUGGCAAGCGUUGUCCGGAUUUAUUGGGCGUAAAGCGAGCGCAGGCGGUCUUUUAAGUCUGAUGUGAAAGCCCUCGGCUCAACCGAGGAAGGUCAUUGGAAACUGGAGGACUUGAGUGCAGAAGAGGAGAGUGGAAUUCCGAGUGUAGAGGUGAAAUUCGUAGAUAUUCGGAGGAACACCAGUGGCGAAGGCGGCUUACUGGUCCGCAACUGACGCUGAGGCGCGAAAGCGUGGGGAGCAAACAGGAUUAGAUACCCGAGUAGUC
rnacentral:rRNA from 1 species